rnacentral:rRNA from 1 species
UACAGGGGGUGCAAACGUUGCUCGGAAUUAUUGGGCGUAAAGCGCGCGCAGGCGGUCCUUUAAGUCUGAUGUGAAAGCCCACGGCUCAACCGUGGAGGGUCAUUGGAAACUGGGGGACUUGAGUACAGAAGAGAAGAGUGGAAUUCCACGUGUAGCGGUGAAAUGCGUAGAGAUGUGGAGGAACACCAGUGGCGAAGGCGACUCUUUGGUCUGUAACUGACGCUGAGGCGCGAAAGCGUGGGGAGCAAACAGG